rnacentral:lncRNA from 1 species
CACAAGAAUCUUGUAGAUUCAAUCAAUACUAUCUACACUAACGAAGACUUAUAUAUAUGGUACAAAUGAUUUGGCCACCUCUAUUAUACUAGACUAUAAUACUUCUACUAUUCUCGUUGUGUUCAAGCUUCAAUAUACCAAAGCAAUUGAACUAAUAGAGGUGAGUUCAAAUACGAGGAAAGACUGGUUAUAUGAAUUGGGUCUCUUAGUGUUACAAUUGACUGUACUCUAGCUAUCUAAAAUCAAUUAUCAAACUAUAAAACACUAAGGCUUACUACUUCCAUCUUAAUUCAACACAUAAUCCAUUCUACGACUAUCAAUUCAACAAUACUUCCAUAUUCUUAUCAGUUCAUCUCCCACUUACCUUCUUUGCGGUUUAUAUAUAUUCAAUUACUGAUCUCUAGCUUACUUAUUAUAUUCAGUUUUUCAAUUCAUCAUACAGAAUUCAAUAUCUUCACUUAACACAACACUAUUCGAUAAUCUCAAUUCUCAAGGUCACAAAUUUUCUCCAAAUCGUUCAGUUCAAAGUUAUAUUCCACAAUAUUCUAAUCACAGUUUCAACAAUAC